AGUGAACGCUGGCGGUAGGCCUAACACAUGCAAGUCGAACGGCAGCACAGUAAGAGCUUGCUCUUACGGGUGGCGAGUGGCGGACGGGUGAGGAAUACAUCGGAAUCUACUUUUUCGUGGGGGAUAACGUAGGGAAACUUACGCUAAUACCGCAUACGACCUACGGGUGAAAGCAGGGGAUCUUCGGACCUUGCGCGAUUGAAUGAGCCGAUGUCGGAUUAGCUAGUUGGCGGGGUAAAGGCCCACCAAGGCGACGAUCCGUAGCUGGUCUGAGAGGAUGAUCAGCCACACUGGCACUGAGACACGGUCCAGACUCCUACGGGAGGCAGCAGUGGGGAAUAUUGGACAACGGGCGCAAGCCUGAUCCAGCCAUACCGCGUGGGUGAAGAAGGCCUUCGGGUUGUAAAGCCCUUUUGUUGGGAAAGAAAAGCAGCAGGUUAAUACCCCGCUGUUCUGACGGUACCCAAAGAAUAAGCACCGGCUAACUUCGUG
rnacentral:rRNA from 1 species